rnacentral:tRNA from 1 species
GUUUUGAAAACUGUGUAAGAAGUAUUCGAACUACUUAAAGCUCUACUUCAAAAUA